CCUCCGCAGGAGCCCUUUGCA
rnacentral:miRNA from 1 species